rnacentral:rRNA from 1 species
GCUAUCACUUCUGGAUGGACCUGCGGUGCAUUAGCUUGUUGGUGGGGUAACGGCCUACCAAGGCGAUGAUGCAUAGCCGAGUUGAGAGACUGAUCGGCCACAAUGGGACUGAGACACGGCCCAUACUCCUACGGGAGGCAGCAGUAGGGAAUCUUCCACAAUGGGCGCAAGCCUGAUGGAGCAACACCGCGUGAGUGAAGAAGGGUUUCGGCUCGUAAAGCUCUGUUGUUAAAGAAGAACACGUAUGAGAGUAACUGUUCAUACGUUGACGGUAUUUAACCAGAAAGUCACGGCUAACUACGUGCCAGCAGCCGCGGUAAUACGUAGGUGGCAAGCGUUAUCCGGAUUUAUUGGGCGUAAAGAGAGUGCAGGCGGUUUUCUAAGUCUGAUGUGAAAGCCUUCGGCUUAACCGGAGAAGUGCAUCGGAAACUGGAUAACUUGAGUGCAGAAGAGGGUAGUGGAACUCCAUGUGUAGCGGUGGAAUGCGUAGAUAUAUGGAAGAACACCAGUGGCGAAGGCGGCUACCUGGUCUGCAACUGACGCUGAGACUCGAAAGCAUGGGUAGCGAACAGGAUUAGAUACCCUGGUAGUCCAUGCCGUAAACGAUGAGUGCUAGGUGUUGGAGGGUUUCCGCCCUUCAGUGCCGGAGCUAACGCAUUAAGCACUCCGCCUGGGGAGUACGACCGCAAGGUUGAAACUCAAAGGAAUUGACGGGGGCCCGCACAAGCGGUGGAGCAUGUGGUUUAAUUCGAAGCUACGCGAAGAACCUUACCAGGUCUUGACAUCUUGCGCCAACCCUAGAGAUAGGGCGUUUCCUUCGGGAACGCAAUGACAGGUG